GUUCACUGCUCCCUCCGUCCCAUUUUCACGCCUAACUUUAAUCGUCUGUUUUUUUAUAAUUUAUAUCUUUAUUGUUAUGAGAUGAUAAAACAUGUAUAGUAUUUUAUGCGUGACUUAUAUUUUUAUUUUUUUUAAAAAAAAUUGAAUAAAACGAAUGGUUAAAGUUGUACACGGAAAAUUAUGGCUGCACUUAAA
rfam:Oryza glumipatula chromosome 3, whole genome shotgun sequence.